rnacentral:rRNA from 1 species
AGGGUUCGAUUAUGGCUCAGGAUGAACGCCGGCGGUGUGCCUAAUACAUGCAAGUCGUACGCACUGGCCCAACUGAUUGAUGGUGCUUGCACCUGAUUGACGAUGGAUCACCAGUGAGUGGCGGACGGGUGAGUAACACGUAGGUAACCUGCCCCGGAGCGGGGGAUAACAUUUGGAAACAGAUGCUAAUACCGCAUAACAACAAAAGCCGCAUGGUUUUUGUUUGAAAGAUGGCUUUGGCUAUCACUCUGGGAUGGACCUGCGGUGCAUUAGCUAGUUGGUAAGGUAACGGCUUACCAAGGCGAUGAUGCAUAGCCGAGUUGAGAGACUGAUCGGCCACAAUGGAACUGAGACACGGUCCAU